GAGUUUGAUCAUGGCUCAGAUUGAACGCUGGCGGCAUGCCUUACACAUGCAAGUCGAACGGCAGCAUGAUCUAGCUUGCUAGAUUGAUGGCGAGUGGCGAACGGGUGAGUAAUACAUCGGAACGUGCCCUGUAGUGGGGAUAACUAGUCGAAAGAUUAGCUAAUACCGCAUACGACCUGAGGGUGAAAGUGGGGGACCGCAAGGCCUCAUGCUAUAGGAGCGGCCGAUGUCUGAUUAGCUAGUUGGUGGGGUAAAGGCCCACCAAGGCGACGAUCAGUAGCUGGUCUGAGAGGACGAUCAGCCACACUGGGACUGAGACACGGCCCAGACUCCUACGGGAGGCAGCAGUGGGGAAUUUUGGACAAUGGGCGAAAGCCUGAUCCAGCAAUGCCGCGUGUGUGAAGAAGGCCUCGGUUGUAAGUC
rnacentral:rRNA from 1 species